GAUAUUCGGAACUUUUUGAGAUUGCUAUAAUAAAAUAUAAAGCUCUUUAUUGACCUGCGCGAGAUAUCGAACUUAAUGUGAAUAUAUGUCUAUCCUAAUGUGUUCAUUUCUUAUAUCGAAGAUGAUCUUCGGUGAAAGAGAAUAUAUAUAGUAUAGAAGAUUUUUAAUAUAAAUAAUAAAGAUAUACAAAAUUAUUAGCACAGAUCAAAUUUUUCGGAAAAUAAAGGUGAAAUUUUAAGUAAGUCUUAUAAUCUUUAGUCUAUCAUCUAAGAAAGUUAUAAUCUAUAAACUGCAAUCUUUUUUAUUAAUGUCUUUUGUAAAAUAUGACUUUUAUUCCUGAAAUGGUGAAAUGGUACAACAUAGAUCAUUACUGUUAAGCAUCUAUGCAAUAAAAAUAAAUGAUACAAAAUACAUAAUGGAUUGCUUCCAUUGAAACAUAAAAUUUAAUUAAGAUAAAAUUCAUAUAUGAGCUAUAUAAUGAAAUAUAAUUGUUUUAAACAUUAAGGUCGGUAUUAUUCGAUAUCAAUCGAUAUUUCCAACUGUUGCUUCUAAUAUGCAUAUUUAAACCUUAAAUUCAAAAGUUGUAUUUUACAAAGAGAUUAAGUAGAGAACCGUUUUUUAAAAAUUUAUACCAAUUCGUAAAAUCUGUGAUCGAUUUGCGAUAAAAUCGAUAUUUUUCAAAUGUGUAUUUUCCAAGUUUAUACAAAUCUAUAAAAUACGAGUAGAUUUAUAUUCAUCAUUAUAUAUAAUAACAUUUUGUAUUUCGAAAAUGUGAAUGAUUUUAGUCGAUGACGUGCCAUUUGAUAGAUAUCCUUAAAACCAGGUGUUGUACGUCAGAAUCGUUUUUCAAAUCACGAAACAUGACUCGAUUACCAUUGUUACACGUGAACCAGUCGCGUUGCUAGCGAUUUACGAUCGAGAAGUACAUAAUCGUGAUACAAACAACGGAACAGCCGCGGUAAAUAUUUGCGAUGACACGGAUUUACCUUUUGCGACGAAUAUUAUACCAUGAACCAACUUCUUUCAUGUAAAUUGUACGAAAUUCAAUCGAAACUAAUUCUUCCAUUCUCUUUCUUUUUUUUAUACACAAAUGGAUGAUAAUUAUUAGAUUGGUGAUUUUUAUGUACAUACAUAUGUAUAUAUCUCUAUAAACAUGAUUAAAAGUAUGGAAUUUCAAUGGAAAAUUGUAUCCACCAAAUAUUAUAGUAAGUAUUCUAUUUUGGAUAUUUGUUAUAUUUUUGUAUAUUAUAUGCUUUGUAUGCAUUCUUGUUCUUUCAAAUGAAUGCAUUAAAAUCUAUAGUUUAAUUCUACUUACACUACUCUACAUUACUAUAGUAUGUGCAUAGUAUAUGUAGUGUAUUCUACUUACGCUAUUAUAUUUUACUUUCCUUUUUUUAUAUUCUAUAUCAAUCUAUAUCUAGGUCACUAUAUUGUUUCUGGCAGAUAAUUAGGUUAUAUUAGUAUAGAUGCAAGUGGUAAGGAAAUCUAAAAAAUAUUUUGGACUAAGAAUGAUGUAUUUUUAGAUAAAUAAUAAAUGAUGUUCAAUAAAUGUACACGCUUAAUAGCCAAUGUAUACACAUAGAAUUUAGACUUUUAUUAGCUGAAGUUUAUUGAUGCAUUGUAGCAGAUAUGUGCAUUGUUUAGUAAAUGAAUACUAAUUCGCGAACUAACGAUAGGUUAUGUAAAUAUACAUACUAGAAAUAGUAAACAUUUUUACAUGUAGCCAACAUCAAUCAAUAAAAGUAUAAAUUCAUAGAUCAAAUAAAAUCGUGAGAAUCGUACAGGAAGUUACCAGAUUAGUCAAGUACGAAACUAAUUAAUCACAAAAGUAUACAUUUUUAUACUCUGUCAACAUUUUUAUUCUUUGACUAAAUGUAAAUAUCACUAAAUCUUAUGUAAAUGCAUAUAUUAAUUGUAAUCGAAAUACAGAAUGAAAAGGAUAUUAAAUAUGUUACUAGGCAUUACUAGGUUAAUCACAUAAAGAACCAUUUCGAUUUAAAAAUUGAACUAGUACGAAAACAAGCAUUUUCACGACAUUUAUUUCAGUAUAUUUCUUUGUCUUUUUAUACAAAUGGCAAAACCGAAUUGUCCUCGAACCACAAUUUAUUUGGAUUAACAAGGUUUUUACCAUUUUAUCCAUUUCUCCUGUUUUCACGUAUUUUUAUAUUUUUCUACAUUUCCGUUUCAUUAGCAGCCGUGCAAUUAAAAGGAGAACAAUUGCAAUAUUUCUACGUUUAUUUCGUCUUUUUGUUUUUCGAGGAUUACAAUAGAAAUUCAACACUUUAUAACCUCGUUAGUUUGCAUUGUGCGUCGCCAGAGUUGCCUGAUAAGCCACCGAAACGCAGAAAAGAUCACAGAACACAUCCGCAUUGAAAUCCUCAUUGGGACAAAGGAAAUGAAAACCAGAAUGAAUUAAGAUGAAGUUAAUAACGACGAAAAUUAAUCACUAGACCGUGGAUGUUUAUAGAAAUCCAUAUUUUAUAUUAGUGGUUAUAAUUAAUGAAGAGUUGGACGUUUUUCCGGAAGUGAGUAACAUACAAGUCCCGUUUCGUUUGGUUACGAAAUGUGCUACGAUAUAAAGGGAAAGCACUUGAUAUUUGAAGGUGAUUCGUCAUGAAGUUUCAUUAAAUCCGAGAGAUUUAACAACGACAUCCUUCUUCGUUAAUCAGAUUACCGGUCUCUGGUUUGCUUCACGGUGCGGAACGAAGUCAAAUGGAAUUGUCUUUGAAGAUCAAUGUGUAACACCUCGGUUCUAUGGUCUUUGGAGACACCUCGACGCUAUGGAACAUGAGCUUUUUGUAUUCUGAAACGGAUCUUGAAUGGGAAGAAGAAAGAAUAUGGGCGCAGAGCAUUGAUAUGAGAGAUGAACGAUCACUGCCAUUUUGGAAUGGAAAGAUUCACCUUUAGUUUUAAUUAAACUGCUGGAAAACCAUAUCGAAAGCUCCGACGAAAGCGGAGAGAAAGGGUUACUGAGGCCUUACAUGUGGUGUUUACUUUGUACUACUCGUGCAAGUAAUUGCCAUGACAAAGGGAGGGAAAUGUAUCCCAUCGUCGACCCGAGUAAUGAUCGAUCAAAACUCCAUUAUUGACAUUCUUUUGAGUAACGCGUGCAAGAACGAUGGAAAACCAAAUUAAAAUCAUUUGAAUAUGAUUACCUUAUUUUCUGAAUGGAUGAAAGAAAUAUAAUAUGUAUACAAGUACAUAGAAACAAAUUGAUUGCUUAGAUACUGCAAAAAUGUUAGGGCGAAUUAAUUGUUAUUUUAUAAUGGUUAUAUUUAUAUAGGGAUAAAACUCGUCUGCUGUAUACUCUAUUUCUGGAAUACAACGGAAAUAGAAACAGUAUGUUUAGAUACUUUUACUUCUUUCAGACAUCAAUUAUUUCAAAGCUUCUAUACUUCACAUCAAAUUUAUGCGUACAUAUUAGACGUUAGGUGGUAUUAUAUUAUAAAUUUUCAUGAAAUAUAUUUUAUAAAGAUUACAGCAGGAAAGUGAUAUAUAAGUCAUGCUUUCGUUCUCCUUCUUCAUAAGUGAGCAAUUUUAAAAUAAUGAAACGAUUUUAUCUGCAUUUAAAUUGUGUUUAAAAUACAAUUCUAAGUACAAAGAACAUUUUUUGGUUCGUUCAUGCAUUAAAUUAGAAGACAAAAGUUUGCAAACGUUUGUUUUUACAAGACUUACGUCUUUGAACCUAACAAGUUAUUCUCUUUCUAAAUAAUUAGAUCUACCAAAUGAUAUUUAAUGCGACAAACAUAAAAAAAGCGGCAAAUAUAGACUUAUCAUAUCUUCAUUUAAAUAUCAAGCGACAUUAAAAUCAGAAAAAUCAACUUUCCACGUUUUAUCUCCUGUGAUCUCAUAAACGUUACUCAAUAAAAUAAAAUAUGAUAUAUCGAGCUGCAUACAAUUUUCCAAACGUCCAAUGCUCGUUAUUCAAACCAUCACAACAUC